rnacentral:RNase_P_RNA from 2 species
UGAGUCGGCCAGGCGGUCGCGUCGACCGCGCUCGAUCCGGGGGUCACCCCGAUCGGGCGGGUCGCCGAGGAACGUCCGGGCUCCACAGGGCAGGGUGGUGGCUAACGGCCACCCGGGGCGACCCGCGGGACAGUGCCACAGAAAAGAAACCGCCCGUGUACCACCGGCCCAGGCCGGCAGGCGCGGGUAAGGGUGAAACGGUGCGUGUAAGAGACCACCAGCGCCCCAGGUGACUGGGGCGGCUCGGUAAACCCCACCCGGAGCAAGACCAGACAGUGCGCGUUCGAGGGCUGCCCGCCCGAGCGCACGGGUAGGUCGCUAGAGAUGUACGGCAACGUGCAUCCGAGAUGGAUGAUCGCCCACGACAGAACCCGGCGUACCGGCCGACUCAUCCG